GAGUCCCACCCGGGGUCCUUAGAAACAGGACGGGCCGCGCCCGAGUCCCACCUGGGGUCCUUAGAAACAGGGCUUGGCCUGCUUUCACCCACCCUAGUGCUCACCCCCUGGAGGACUGGCUGGCCCUGUGUCACCUACUGAGCACGCAGGACAGUCUGAACAGCAGGGAGGAAGGGCUCCAGAGCGGCCUCGGGAGGACUUCCUGGGUGGGGCUCACCUGCUUUCACAGAAGCAGCGUUUACCAGCCCCUCCUGCCCGCCAGGUCUGUGCCAGUUCCUCUGCUCAAGCACCCCCGCUGGCUUCUCCAGCUUAUGUGGAGGAGACGGCUCCACUGACAUGGAGCCGCCUCCCCAGGGUUACCCAGGGAGCAACGGGGGACGUGAGACCGAAGCCCAUGCCCCUGGCACACAUGGCUCCUGGCACACAUGAGCUCCCGGAGGCCAGAUGGCGCCCACACCUUUGGGUCACAGCAACCCGGAGUGGGAGGAUGGGGUGGGGCAGCACUGGCCUGGCCAUGCCCCCUGGCAGCCACCUUGCCCUCACACGCCCCCUCAGCAGCCUGCCUUGGAAUCAGGUCCCCAAGUUUAAAUCAUCACAAGAUGAUUUACUUACUCAUCGCUGCAAGAGCUGGGCAGAGGUCAGCGAGCAAAGAGGGAGCUUCCGGCCUUUCCCAGGACCCUGUUCCUCCCACCGAGGAAUUGCCAAGGGGCCAGUUCCCACACGCACACCCAGCCACCCAGGCUGAGAUGAGCCACCAGGGUGCCAGAGCCAGGGACUGAGGGUGGCAUGGCCUCUCUAAGCUCCAAGACGGGCAGAGCUACGCUGCUUGUGGCCUCAGGCUGGCGUGGGCGUGGCGGGGGCACAGCCAGGGUUCUGACACAUGCCCACCCCCAUCUCAGCCCUGUCU
ensembl:lncRNA